UAUAUGGGAGAUAAAAAAAAAGAAAGACACUGAAGAAAUUGGACUCUAAAAUCUAGAAGCUAUAAAGAUAAUUAUGUGAUAAAUUCCAUGCACACUAUAAACAUGAAUGUUAUUUCCACCCAGCAAAAUAUUAGGUCAAAAACCAAUGGGG